rfam:Erinaceus europaeus unplaced genomic scaffold scaffold00758, whole genome shotgun sequence
GGAUGUGAGGGCAACCGGGAUGGGACACCUGUCACCCCACUGAUCGCCAGGGUUGACUCAGCUGAUCUGGCCACCUAGGCGGGUGUCCCCCUCCUCCCUUGCCCUCCAUGUGCGUCAAUGUGCUGCGCUGUUCGAAGAGGACAGCCUUCCCCGAAGAGAGACGAACCGGCCUUCAGUCCAGGGUAUACGAGUAGCUGCGCUACCCGGCUAGAACCUCCAAACAAGCUCUCAAAUUGUGAAAUAAAAAAAAUCCCGAAAUAUCGCUCAAAAAUCACCAAAGAAGGAGGCCUGAGGCCGCAUGGAGGGCAGGGAGUUAGGUUUAUUU